CGUAGGGUGCGAGCGUUGUCCGGAUUUAUUGGGCGUAAAGAGCUCGUAGGCGGCUCGUCGCGUCGACCGUGAAAACCCGCGGCUUAACUGCGGGCUUGCGGUUGAUACGGGCGGGCUAGAGUUCGGUAGGGGAGACUGGAAUUCCUGGUGUAGCGGUGAAAUGCGCAGAUAUCAGGAGGAACACCGGUGGCGAAGGCGGGUCUCUGGGCCGAUACUGACGCUGAGGAGCGAAAGCGUGGGGAGCGAACAGGAUUAGAUGCCCUGGUAGUCCACGCUGUAAACGUUGGGCGCUAGGUGUGGGGGGCCUCUCCGGUUCUCUGUGCCGCAGCUAACGCAUUAAGCGCCCCGCCUGGGGAGUACGGCCGCAAGGCUA
rnacentral:rRNA from 1 species